rnacentral:rRNA from 1 species
UUAUUGGGCGUAAAGAGCUUGUAGGCGGUUUGUCGCGUCUGCUGUGAAAGGCCGGAGCUUAACUCCGUGUAUUGCAGUGGGUACGGGCAGACUAGAGUGCAGUAGGGGAGACUGGAAUUCCUGGUGUAGCGGUGGAAUGCGCAGAUAUCAGGAGGAACACCGAUGGCGAAGGCAGGUCUCUGGGCUGUAACUGACGCUGAGAAGCGAAAGCAUGGGGAGCGAACAGGAUUAGAUACCCUGGUAGUCCAUGCCGUAAACGUUGGGCACUAGGUGUGGGGAACAUUCCACGUUUUCCGCGCCGUAGCUAACGCAUUAAGUGCCCCGCCUGGGGAGUACGGCCGCAAGGCUAAAACUCAAAGAAAUUGACGGGGGCCCGCACAAGCGGCGGAGCAUGCGGAUUAAUUCGAUGCAACGCGAAGAACCUUACCAAGGCUUGACAUAUACUGGACCGCAUCAGAGAUGGUGUUUCCCUUCGGGGCUGGUAUACAGGUGGUGCAUGGUUGUCGUCAGCUCGUGUCGUGAGAAG